CCUACGGGGUGCAGCAGUAGGGAAUAUUGCUCAAUGGGGGAAACCCUGAAGCAGCAACGCCGCGUGGAGGAUGAAGGUUUUCGGAUUGUAAACUCCUUUUGUUAGAGAAGAUAAUGACGGUAUCUAACGAAUAAGCACCGGCUAACUCCGUGCCAGCAGCCGCGGUAAUACGGAGGGUGCAAGCGUUACUCGGAAUCACUGGGCGUAAAGAGCGCGUAGGCGGGAUAGCAAGUCAGAUGUGAAAUCCUAUGGCUUAACCAUAGAACUGCAUUUGAAACUGUUAUUCUAGAGUAUGGGAGAGGUAGGUGGAAUUCUUGGUGUAGGGGUAAAAUGCGUAGAGAUCAAGAGGAAUACUCAUUGCGAAGGCGACCUGCUAGAACAUAACUGACGCUGAUGCGCGAAAGCGUGGGGAGCAAACAGGAUUAGAUACCCCAGUAGUC
rnacentral:rRNA from 1 species